GCCGAGUUGUGUGGCGGCGGCGAGGGGCGCUGCGGGGCCUGAGGCGGGUCGCGGCCGAGACUGAUGCCCGCAGCGCCCGUUUCUCACCUCCCUGGGGCUGCUCCUGAGGUUCAGGAACAGAAUUCCGAGAAGAAGCCGGCGGCUACGGCCGCGGCCCGCCCUGACGGCCCCGGAGCGCGCCCGGUUCGCCUGUGUUCGCUCCCCUCGGCGCCGGCUGUGCGAGUCCUGGGCUCCCGGACGACAGCGGCGGCGCGGGCCCCGCGGGAGGGAUGGGCGUGUGGUCCCCACGGACCCUCAGACCUGCCUCUUCUUGUGGGGGAACGUCUGCGCUCGGGGUGCCCGUUUUCUGGCCAGGAUCCGACGUCUUCUCUGGAUUUGCUUGUGCCGCAAAACAGCGGCGUGUUUGGUUGGUAUUUUUCCUUUCCUUCCACGAUCUUUCCGUGUUACAACUUUUGACCGGCCUAGUUUGUGCUUUCCGUCACACGUGACGAAUUUCACCGGGAUUGUCGUUUUCCCUUGGAAUUAAUCUUUCAGCGAGGUGGUUUUUGUUGUUUUUUUUUAAGAUUUUAUGUAUUUGGGGGGACUGGCGGGGCAGGGCAUGAGAAUCUCCAGCGGACUCCACGCAGCGCUGAGCCCUCACCACCCGAGAUCGUGACCCGAGCCGAAGCCAAGAGUGCGACACGACUGACUGAGCCACCCAGGUGCCCCCUCAGAGUUUCAAGAUGACUAGUCAGCUUUAACCUCAGCAGAAGUGUUCGGCGCCCUUGUGCAUUUCUGCCGUAGCCAGGACAUGUGGCAUGCGAGUACGUUCAGAGCACACACGCAGCGUAGAAGCCACCAACGACUCCAGCCCGUGAAGUAUCUAGAAUUCCAGGCCAUUCAUGAGCAAGGUGAGAGAGGGUGGCUGAAAGUUCUGCUAGCUAUCCAGGUUGAAAAGCAUUAGGAACACCGGAAACGUAGAAACGCCAUGCUGAAUCAGACUGAAUAUCUAUCCUCUCAAGUAUCACAUUCCCACUUAGGUAGCACUAACAAAGGACAUGAUACAGAAUAACAUAAUGCUGUCUUCCCUAUUAUCAGCCUCAGGAGGAAGUUGUAUACCAGCAUUCCCAACUUCAUUUAAAAACCUCUUCAGACUGUUCUCAUAAAAUAAAAUUUAUCUUUAUUUAAACCUGUU